UGGGAUUGCAAGCUAGCUUCAACCAGGCACUUUCCUGUGGGGGAGGAGAAAUGCUGCUAAGGCUAUAUUAGUGUUCCUGAGCCUGCCUGGCAGCUGGCAUAAAUUCACUUACUUUCCACGUGGCUGGGGAGGCCUUACAAUCAUCGCAGAAGGCAAGGAAGAGCAAGUCACAUCUUAUGUGGAUGGCAGCAGGUCACUCAUUCUGGGAAAAGCCAGCUGCCAUGUCAUGAGGAUAUACCAAACAGUAUAUGGAGAGGCCAUAUGGUGAGAAAUUGAGGGCUUCCACCAACAGCCAUGUGCU
rnacentral:lncRNA from 10 species